AAUGGCCAGGUUCCUUCAAAAAAGAAUAGGGAGAAGAAAUGGCUAGGUCUUGUGCUCUAGCGACACACCGACGUCUCUUGUGUGGCCUGGCUUAUCUGGAUGGGUCUCUCUUGACUAUACACGCUAGGUGUUCAUGCAAAUGCCUCGCGGCUGCGAGUGUUAGUGAACGGCUCCAGCAGGCUAUGGAGGAUGAUGACAAUGGAUGUGGAUUUGCCUCCCCCAAUGGUACGCUUGGUAUCUUGACCUGUGCUGGGCUAUGGCUAGGAGGCCGUUGACUUAUCUCCCCUCCCCGCGCCAAUGCCAUCGGGGGCGACUAGGAGUACAUGCGGUCUCGCUGUUCCUGACGCUGGUGGGAGCCUCUGCAUCUCGGUGCAUGCUGAAGAGGAGUCACAUCUGGACCAAAACACUCAAGCCCCAAAUCGGCUUCAACGAGCCACAGCUAAUCUUCUGGAGAUGGAUGAGUGAUGAACUUUCGUCGGUAGCUGAUUUGGAUAUCAAGUCCACUUGAAACUUGUAGAGGUGGUCUUCUUCCCCGCGGUGGUGCUGAUGCAGUACGGGCUCAGCUCACUGUGCUUGUCACUUGUGAUAGCCUCUGCUGCUCGGUGAACGCUCAAGAAGAGUCCCAUAUGGACAAGGACACUCAAGCACCUCACCGUCUUCAACGAGCUAUAGUUAAUGUAGCCUGCCACGGUCCUCGUCAUCUAGAACAUAGCUGACCCUCAUAGCAAGGCUAAGGUCCUCGGCUUCGACUAUUUGUCGCUUCAUAUCUACCCUUGCAUGCAGCGGCAAGUUUGCAACGCCGCAACCGUGGCAGCGUGGCCAAUUCGUCUUCUCAAUGGUCUAAGUGCCCUUCUCCUUCUUCCCUUCUCUCCUCUGCAUCCUUGUAAAGAGCUAUGCAUAUGAUUAUGCAAAAGCUGAACUUUAAUAUGUGCAUUCUAAUUUUUUGCCUGCUUUUGGGUCAUUAAUUAACUAAUUUCGAAUUAUACAUUUGAAUGGUCUGUUGCAAAAUAUGCUUGUAUCAAGUGGACCUAAUGCAUCAUAGUAUUUUGUGAUUUGCCAUUCAUACAAGAGUAGUAGUUCACUUAUUACCCACUUCUUUUUUGCUUGGUAAGUAUUGUUGCCGCUUCUAUAUCACUGUUCAUUCGUCACUGGAUUGUAGGUUUAAUUUAAAAUUAUAAAAAAUGACUUGUAUGUAUAUUUAACUAUAAAGAUGUCGCAAGUUGUUGCGAUGAAGACAAACAAGCUCCCUCUUCUAGAAGUGCCGAGGACAUCUCUUGCAGAAUCGGACCUCAUUAUUGUGAUUAAAUUCCCUCCUCAGAGCUUUUGUGAUGGUGAUAAAUUUAAGGCUUAUUUCUCAAUUGCCUCCUAAGAGCUUUGGUCUUGCGAGUCUUGAGAGCUAAUGCUGCUACUUCCUUCCUUGGAUGUCUGAGCCUUUUUUUAAUUUCACUGUCUGUUUUUAAAUCAAAUUUAGCAGUCUUCGUAGUAUUUUUCAUUUGGCUCUUGCAUUGCAAAUGAUGAUGAAAUCAAGUCUUGUUUCUCAAAACAUUUGCAGUUGCCACCUAAGAGCUUUCGCCCUGUCAGACUUCAUAGCUGAUGCAGCUAGAUCCUUCCUUGGAUGUCUGAUGCAAUUCAUGUUUGUUGAGUGUUGAAAAACUUCUAAUCACACCAUGUUUUGGGACUCAUUAGUUGCUAUGCUGUUAUUAUGCAAUUCUAAAGACAAAUUGGAUAUCUUUUUGGUUUUCUUAAAAAAAUUGUCUAUCACUAUUGAUUUUUUAUUUUUGUGUCUUGUGGUUGGUUAGCAUGUGUUUAUGUGAAUAGACCUGUGAUGAUAAUCUAUAAGAGAAAUUACCAUCUUUCCGGAGCUUGCGUUCUUUAUCAUGACCAAGGUCACCAAUGCGCAAUUUAGCUCCAGCUUGAGGGUACUUAUAGUCGUGCUAUUGUUGCAUCGUCUUUGAUAUUUGAAUUGAAGAUCCAAGCAGGUUAGACUGAACUCACUUUUGGAUUGUAAUACAAUCGUUUGGAAAAGUAUGUGUGAACUACUUUGUAUGAAGAUCCUGCUAUUUGAACGUGUUGCGAGAAAAAAAUAUGGUCUUUGAUGUUAUUUCUGUAAUUUUUCUUGGGUGAUUAUAGGCAGUGAAUAGUAAUAUGCUUUCGAAUAUUGGUUUCAGGUUUGCACCCUCACAGUUGCAUAAGCCAAUGCUCAUUUAGGAUAUUUUCCACCUAAUCAGAAACACUUGGCAAUUUUGUAGUUACUACUAUGAUAUACCACAAUCUCUUAAGUAUAUAUAUUGCUAUAAAGGAACAUAAAUAUGUUAGCCACGCAUACUUUCAUUUAUUAUUAUUUAAUAUUAAUAGUUUGAUCCAUUGAUAGGGCUCCACAUUAUUCAAAGAAUAACCAAUAGGUAAGUGUCCAUGCUUUUUCAUAGGUUAACUCAAUUUUCUAGAAUAAGCAAUUGGUAAGAAUCUCGAUUUUCUAGCUAUCAAAUCUUUAUCUUUGCCUUGUCAUAUAUUUAUGCUCCCUGCGCCAAUACCGUCGGGAGCGACAAGGAGGUAAAUAAUUUUGAACUGAACCUGAUUGUUCCCCUCUUUCUGUUUUGCUUCACAUCAAAUGGAGUUGCUUCGUGCUGAACUUAUCCUUGUUAAUUGCAAAUGCGUCUGUUCUUUUUGUGCUAAUCCAUUUGUGGUUAGCAGCUCGGCAGGUACAUGUUUGCUUUUGGGGACUCUCCGCUUAACUCUAUUUUCUAGCUGUCAAAUUUGUGUCUUUGCCUUGUCAUAUAUUUAUGCUCUCUAGUACUGUGAACCAUUUGUCUUGUGUAUGCCAGUAUGCUACUCAUUUAUGCAGUGUCCCCUGCAGUUUUUGUCAGCUCUAAUUACGAAUCUAAUGCACCAAUAUUCAUCUCCAAAACAUCUUAUCAUACGUUACCUUACGUCCCCAGGAACAGGUUUUCUUUAUGUGGAUGAUAUCACCAACAGUACAUGCUGCAAGAGUUUGUGCCACUUUACGUGUGACUGCCUGGUGCUGUUUUCCGGAUGCAUUUCAAGCCCAAUGUACAUGCCUUGGAUAUUAUGUAUGCAAGAGAUUCUGAUAAAGUUGAGAAGGAAGAGACAAAUGGUGGGACAUGCUGCCGUGUCCGUUGGUGCGCGUGGCUAGCUUGGCAAUGAAGUGCAGCUACAAGCCGCCGGGUGGCUGGAGGCAGCGGGUGAUUGCAGUGUCGUCUAUCACCUACUAUUCGCUGCCUUUGCCACCCUAGCAACAUGUGCGUCCUUGGCGACAUCUUGGACAUUGGAGCAAGAAAUUCAACUAAGAUAGCAGCAUUCUAGGAUAAUAAUGGAAUGAGCCUGAGUUACCAUUGCAUGAUCAGCAUGCGAGCUGGUGUGGAGAGAUGCACAGAGUGG